rnacentral:rRNA from 1 species
AUGGCUCAGGAUGAGCGCUAGCUACAGGCUUAACACAUGCAAGUCGAGGGUAGCAGGUAGCAAUACCGCUGACGACCGGCGCACGGUGAGUAACACGUAUCCAACCUUCCCAUAACUCAGGGAUAGCCUUUCGAAAGAAAGAUUAAUACCUGAUAGUACUUUUUCAAGGCAUCUUGAGAAAGUUAAAGAUUUAUUGGUUAUGGAUGGGGAUGCGUUCCAUUAGAUAGUUGGUGAGGUAACGGCUCACCAAGUCUUCGAUGGAUAGGGGUUCUGAGAGGAAGGUCCCCCACAUUGGUACUGAGACACGGACCAAACUCCUACGGGAGGCAGCAGUGAGGAAUAUUGGUCAAUGGGCGAGAGCCUGAACCAGCCAAGUAGCGUGAAGGAUUGAAGGUCCUAUGGAUUGUAAACUUCUUUUAUAGUAGAAUAAAGUGAUCCACGUGUGGAUUUUUGUAUGUAUACUAUGAAUAAGGAUCGGCUAACUCCGUGCCAGCCGCAGC